UAAAAAUGCACAGUGUUUCUUUAUUUUCAGGUUACAUACGGAAAUUCAUUUAUAGUUAUCGAUUACAUACGGAAAUUCAUUUAUAGUUAUCGAUUACAUACGGAAAUUCAUUUAUAGUGAUCGACUAGAUUUUUGAUUUGAGGUUCCGGAUUUCAUCCAUUUCAAUAUGGUUAGACAAAGGCCUGCCAGAGAAUAUGGAGAUAUCUCUAAUCGCUGCCAGUCCCAGACAGGGGGGCAUCGGGAGAGGCAAUGUAAGAAUAAGACCACCCACCUAAGUCAAAUAUGUUGGGUGCAUCUGAAGAGUUUGACAGACUUGGAGUAAGUAUCCUUAUUCCCUUAUUUUCCUUUGAUUUCAUGACUUGGAUUUUAUGUAUUUUUUCUAAUGUAUGGACCAUAGAGAUAUGUACAUUUUUAUGUUUUAUUAGGAAAUCACUAUCAAAUCACAAAAUUUACAAUUAGUAUGAUUGGCGAAUGUUAAAGUUACAAAAUCAAAGAAUGACUCAA